AUCUCUUUGAAAAUGUUAUGUUCACGAAAUUUGAUAGGAGAAUGGCGAGCAAUAUCUUAUUACAGCGUAAUGGACAUGAUUGUGGUAUAUUUGUUAUUAAUUAUAUGCAACAAUCAGAUCAUUAUGUGAAGCAAAAUCCCUUAUUACAGUUUGACAGUGAUAAAGAAAGGUUGGAUUUGA